UUACCUAUAUUAUUCGUCGGUUAGCUCGUUUUUAAUCCGUAUUAAAUAUGGGUUGGUCGAAUAAUUUAUUCAUUUUUUCAUUACUUAUUUUCGAUCUGAACUAUAUCCGGCCCAACCUGUCCGUUUGCCACUCUUACUUGAUACUAUUGCAGCGAGUCUGGAACUCAUUUGUGAUCCUUUUGGACUCAAAAUACAUAAAUACGUUAGGGGGAAAACUUAGUAAUUAAGCUAUACAAAACACGCUUUUAAUCUAAGUAUUACCUGUUUUAUGGGUCCACCAAUAACUCUUCUAUACUUUAACUCACAUAACAAUAAUUUAAAUGGGUAAAACGUCCUUUUAGAAAACGUUUUACUUCCAAAAAUGACCCCUCUCGGAUUGGGCAUUGCCUUAUUUAAAGGCGCUAAGGGUUUUGCAAUAAUUCAUUCAAAAUAUUAUCAAUUCCUUAUAAAUUUUGCUUUUUUCAUAAUGUCUGAAUAGCGAUAAGUAAGAGUUUCAUUAUAUUUGGGAAGGGGGAGGGGGGUGAGGUUGUGGUGGCGAAUAACUUAGUGAACUAUAGUUUAUCUCCACAGAGUCAUAUUAAGUUGUCACUUAUAAUGGAGUAUGAUAGAUUGGUAUCGUUGUUAUGUAAUAAAAUGAGUGUGAGCGAACGUUCGGUAAAUCUUAAAACAACCGAAAAAUAUCUGUAUUUUGUGCUCUGCAAGGGGUUGCUUGUUAUGUUAAGUUUAACAUCGAGGAUGAUGAAAUUCUGAGAGAUUUUUUGGGGACUGGAUGAGUACCGAGAAUUUAUUUUGAUAAAAAUGUUAAAAAUGUUAAAAAUGUGUGUGAAGGUUGAAGACGUUCGCAAUAAUGAGGUUGCGGAAAGCAGGGAUAACCUUUAAUCAUUGGGUGGUUAUUCUUGAGCAAUUUUAGCCAAAAGGUUUCGGCUGAGAGAGUUUGUUCCCGGAUAUAAACUUAUCUCCACGGGCGAAUGAGGAGCGAGGAAAUAAUUUCUCUCCUACUUUACAUAAUUCGCAAGACGACUAGUAAAGUUUAAUUUUUCUUUGUGUUACGAUGUUUAUUUUUGUUGUAUUGAAUUUGUAUUAAGACUCGUAUAUUCCGCGGGGGCACUGUCUAGAAUGAAUUUUACAAGUUAUAAACCCACGCCCAGUUGGAAUAUGCGUAAUUCUGGUGUGUUGGAUCACGG
rnacentral:lncRNA from 1 species